UCAGAGUAAAUUAUUUAAUAUGGUUAUAAAUUGUAGGUUACUUACUUUAUUUGAAAAUAAUAUAUGUCACCAUCAACUAGGCUUUAAGAAGAAUAGUAGGACUUCAGAUGGUAUCUUUAUUGUAAAGACUCUGUUUAAUAAAUAUAUAAAUUAUAAAAAGAAAAAGAUUUAUGGUUGUUUUGUAGACCUAAAAAAGGCAUUCGAUUCAGUGUGGAGGUUAGGUCUUUUGUACAAAAUAACAAAAAAUGAGAAUAUUGGUGUAAAAUUUUACAAUUUGAUAAAAAAUAUGUAUAAGAAUACUGAAGCUUCAGUGAAAUCAAAGGAGAAUAUAUCUGAAUAUGUCUCUAUUGAUAGAGGAGUGAAACAAGGGGAUAAUAUGAGUCCAAACUUAUUUAAUGUUUACAUAAAUGAUCUACCAGAAAUAUUUGAUGAAAGUUGUAAACCAGUGACUCUGC
rnacentral:lncRNA from 1 species